CACAUAGAAAUGAGUCUUCUAAAAAGGAUUCGACUAUUCGGAAUUUGAGGAAAACAUCUAAUGAAAAUCACAAUCUUUUGAAGCAAUGCCAAAAAAGCAAUGAGGAUAAUAAAAAAGCAAUACAGGAGAAGAAUUCAAUCCAAUCACAACUUAGUUCGCGCAAAAAGAUUUCACCAACACAAAAGAAAAAUGAAGGGGG